GGGGACAAUACAAACCCUAAUUAUAAAAAUCAAGAGAAAGAUGAAUGUUGAAUGAAAUGGAAAAACGAAAAGCAUAGAGAGAGAGAGAGUGUGUAUAUACUUCAAAUUAACCGAAUCAAACGUUUCUGCAGAUUUUCUGCAGAUUUCUGCAGAUUUCUGCAGAUUUUUGGAGCCUAGGGAUCCAUUAAUCACAGCCCUUCAAAAUCGAUCCUACGGCCAAGAAACUUCCUUAGCCCACUAAAUUAUUUCGAGGACUAGGUGAGGUCGCCGUCGAACGGAGGGACGUUGGACUCGCCG
rnacentral:lncRNA from 1 species